UACGUAGGUGGCGAGCGUUGUCCGGAUUUACUGGGCGUAAAGAACGCGCAGGCGGCUGGGCAAGUCCGAUGUGAAAGCUUCCGGCUUAACUGGAAAAUUGCAUCGGAAACUGCUCGGCUUGAAGGUGGGAGAGGGUAGCGGAAUUCCCGGUGUAGUGGUGAAAUGCGUAGAUAUCGGAAGGAAACAUCAGUGGCGAAAGACGCACUU
rnacentral:rRNA from 1 species